AUCAGAGAGAAAACGACGGAUGUGAUUGAGCCUCAAUGGAGAAUCCGUCGUAAUCGAAGUCUCGCGGCAGACUCGUCUGACGGGACGUGUUCCAUUAGGUCAUUGACACGUCCCCCGCCCGCGAAGCGCAAAACUCCGCGCGAUUCUCCCGAGCUAACGUAAUUAAAGGCACGCGCAUAUCUAAACGCGUCCUCCUCGACGCACGAUGGGGUCUCUGUGACCCGCCUGGGUCCCCGCGAUUCAUUAAAUUUUCAUUUAACUCCACCGGCAUGGAGAUAGAAGCGAUGGAUCUCUUCUCGCUUCCAUCUCUCGCGGUAGCUGCCAUAAGCGGAAUUCAGCGGUCUUAGCGACCGUCGUCGAGCAUCACCAUGCAAAUGUGCGCAAAUUUCAGGUUCAACGGAAGUCGGGACAAGUCAAAGAGAAGAGGAAGGAGAGGAUGGCGAGCGAAAUUCCGUCAGAGAGAAAGAUGAAAAGGAGAUCUCCUCGUGAAGGAUCAGCGUGGGUGGCGCGGGUUAACGCCGCUCCGUUAUAUUUCUAGAAUGUCUUCAUCUCUUCCCCCCCCCCCAUAUUGCCCGUAGCACCGAAAUAGAAGAAGGCGCGUUCCAUGGCGUCUCGUUCGCUUUGCAACUCUGACGCUUCGUAUCUCUCAUCGCGCGUGCCUCUCGCGCGUAGUAACGGGUUGCGAAAAACUUGACCGGAUUUACCGCUUCAAUUUCACGCCAGAGAUAUUUCUUCUCGCGGGGCGCGCGAUAAAACUGCAAUCGCGCUGUUAAAUUGAACAAACGAACGCGCGGCUGGCCAACCGUCCGUAGUUUUCCUGCGUGCAACAAAGACCGGGCACGACGAGCGGAUGAUUGAGGAGGAAACGGCGGAAUAGCCCACGCUUCCGGUUACGCGAUGUCCGCGGAAUGCGAAGUGACGCGCCGCGAGGAAGAGCGUCGAACAAGCGGAAUUGCCAACGCCAAUAUUCCCCCGCUAGGCGACAUUGUCGUCGUAAGAAAAUUUCAUUUUCUCCGAGCGAUCGAGAGAGAGAGAGAGAGAGAGAGAGAGAGAGAGAGAGAGACAUAAUUUGCAGUGCAGUCGGUAGCGAGACAUUCAAGACAUUUCCAAAAGCGCCGCGCUCUCUGCCACUGACAGCAAUGUAUUGUGAAAUAUAUCCGACAAUAAGCCACGUCGUGCGAAUUACACGGCGAGGUGCGGCAAGCUCGGCGCGGUUCAUUGUUAGUUUCGGCAUGAAUACCGGGCAAUUUUUAAGCAUAUGCGACAGUUGCGGUUGCGGUUUACGGAUACAAGAUCGGGCGUAUUACGUCGUUGUCUGCGCUAUCUUACGCUACGUAUUACGUCUGACAUAAAUCGUGAAGCUUGGCGCGAGCCACGACGCUUACGAUUCCCGCGAUAACGGCCGAGGUGCGGUAACUCGCGGGGGACACACCUCGCGCGAGCCUCGGACGCCUCUGGCCGGCGUGGCAUUCUGGACAUUUUAUUCCCGAGAAUCCGUCUACCACGCGUAACAACUUAAUCGGGGAGAGCGACGCUUUAAGAAGGGCUGUUUGUUGUCCGCGGCAAGUCGAACGACGGCCAUUUGCCGAAAACGUGCCGCGAUGAACAAAUCGACGUUGAACACCGUUUCGUGCGGACAGCGCAAUUUCCGAAAAUGAACGGCCGCGAUAAAUCAGAGAAUGUCGGCCAACGUGUCUUUGACUAAACCGAGUUGGAAACGUAAUAUUUUCGCGUUAGCCAGCGAACGCGGGACCGGGAGGAACUUGGAAAUAGGGUCAGUCCCCUCAGGAGGCUUUUGAAAAUCCAACGGGGAAUAGAGAAGCCGCACUUGCCUGUCGGCAGCCAUGCUCAUAAAGUUACCCCAUGUAACACCUAGCCUGAUGGUUUACCGACUGCCCUGUAGGCGUGAAAAAGGGAAGGAGCGAGCCGAGCUGUUAAUAAGGCUGAUACACACAGAGAAAGAAAAUAAAAAGCGGCCGCUCCAUGCUUUAUGAGUGGUCAGUUGUGAUGAUAAGCCUCCGGCGACGAGCGACCGUGGGUCGAUGCAAUCGUUUUAUCUGACGUACUAGCUAAAAAGCUAAAUGAAUCAGCGAAACAGGGAUAAUAAUUACAAUCGAGCCUUGCUGCCUUAAAGAAGAAAUUUGACCAAACGGGAGAACAAAAGAGAACCGUUACCGCAACGAGAGCACACUGUGGCUUUGCGAAAACAGGGAGGAGGUUAUAUUGUGGUCUUAAUUUUACCCUGCUUCUUCUUCCCCUCAUUCCUCGCGCGGUAUAUUCGUUACAAGAUUUACGCAAGCGAGUAAAUGGAGCAACGCACGGCACGUCACUGUGUGAGUCCGUUUGAAGAUGCACACCGAGAGCCAACGACAUCUACGUAAGAACCUAUUCCGGACCAAACAAUACGACGUUUGUUCUCCCGAGAACUACUUCCGGAAAUUUACGAGGCACGGGAUUUCCGAGAGCUGGCCGGAGAAUCGACCGAUGAAUGGAAUCGAAUGGAAAACUCGCGGAACUGUAUUUUCGAUUUCGCGGGCUUAACCCCCUCGUGACUCUGCCCUUCCUUCUUUCCGCAUUUUAUCGUCCCGAAAAAGAGCAGCGACGUGCGUACUUCGCGGUGAAAUGAGCACUUUAUAUUCCCCUCCCUCUCCCCGUUUCUCUUUGCCGCUUAAAAAAUUGUAUUCAAUUUUUUCUCGGAAGAAAUUUGACACAAGUCUUGAUGAAACGAAUUAUUUAACACUCUUGCGGCAAACCAACUUCUGAAUGAUAAACGAGACAUUAUCUUAAAAUUUAUUCGCGAUACUACUUAUCGAUCAAAGUUUGCGAGAAAAAAGCGAUACAUCAAGCGGGUGGCUCGGAUUAAACUUUCACGGAAGAAAAAUCGAUUUCGAUUCGAUCAGAAGUACAAUUCCUUUACUCUCUUAGAUUUACAAUUCGUACUUUAAGCCGAAGUUACAAGAGGCAUGAGAAAGCUACAAAUAGAACGCGAGUUUUAUGGUUGCGUUAUUACUAAUGUAUUUGCAUGUGAAAGUUACAAAUUUCGCGUCGGAAAAAUUCACUCGGCUCCAUUUCCGUCGCCAGAAAAUCUCCUUAAACUCUCAUAAAAUCUCUGUGUCGAUGAUUCGCAUUGCAUCAGGCGACCCGCGUCCCGAUCUGGGACAUCGCUACGACAAACGUGCAACUUGUCUUAAAUUUCCGUUAUGUGCACUCGCCUCAUCGAAGUAAUUUGCGAGACGACUAUAGAUACAGCCGGUCGCGACUUCCGCGCGCCGUCCAAGUCUUUCUCAACAAACUUUCCGAACGAUAUUUCCGUGCACGCGCGGAAUGAAGUGCGCGAGCAUGAAAUAUUCCUCGCGCAACUGACGAUAUUCCUGGCACAAUACAAACACCGUUGCUCGUAAAGUGCGCGGCAUCUAUAGUCGUGCAGGAAACAUUUUGUUUAGAGACGGAAGAGAAUACAAGAGUUAUUCGAUACGCGCUCAUUGCUUGCUAGACGUAUCGCCCGUGGAACGGUAUCUUUAAGGGUCAUCCUGCCCCUUUCAUUUUCUUUCUAAUCGUCGACCCUUCUACUUUUACGAGGCGGGGGAGUCGGCGCGGCGCGGUGAAUUAGAUGGUGCGAAGCGCCGACGCAACUGGGUCACUUAGAUCCGAUUAAGCUCCUUCGCGUGUCAUAAUGCCAGGCCAUUACUGCGGCUUGAAGUCUACGAUUGCGACGACUAACUGGCCCAUUACGCUUUCGCGGACUGGAGACUCAUCAAAUCCUCAAAUCCACGACGUAGUACAGUUUCUCCCGAGAAAGAUUUGCUCGUAAAAGAGUCCCUGCGAAAAUCAUUAAUUUCUAUUUGAAUCGGAAAAGUACGGUCAACGUACCGCGACUCUCUUCAUCUUUUUUAUGAUUCUAUAACUCACGAGAAGCGCGACACGUGCUGCCGACUCUUUAGACAUUACGGGAGUACGACGGGCUCUGACAAAGCAAGAAGAUCGUAAAUUUAACAGGCUUGUCGUAACAAGGCGACUGACGAGAAAAGAAGUAUGGCCAGUUGAUACUCCUUCUUCGAGAGGAGGACGAUAAGCGGAGCGGGAGGUCUUAAGCGCAAAGUCUUAAAACCGAUGAACAAGCAUAAUGAGAGGCGGUAUAAAAGAUCACACGGACUACGUAUCGCUCGUAUAACUCGCUCCCUUCUACUUUUUCCACAUUACCGUUAUUGCAUCGCUCGUGUAUCUUCAUUUCGUUCAGCAUCGCGCGAUGUAAUACGGAUAUGUAACUAACGUAGCGCGUAGCAGGUGCUGUGCAAUUACGCGCUAGGCGCUCCCGGGUGAAAAUUCCGCUAAUUUGAUAACCGCGGGGUCAAGCCGAAUACCAAAUCCCCCCUCUCCCUCCCUUUCGCCCCGCGCGAACAAAAAUUGCGUACAGGUGCAUUUGUGAAUACUCGAUGGCGGCUUCAUCAAGCUCUAAUUUCGCGAGCGCGGCCUUGCGAUGCUGUCGAGAAAUAUCGGUGAGAGUACACGGGGUAAUGGCACUUACAUUAACUCGGUCGUUCCACGUGGUCGCGUUCGCGCCGGUAUGGCACGUCCGUUUCUCGCGCUCGACGUAGCCAGUUUCCCGCUGGCGAUUCUCAACUUUCUAAUCGGCAAUUGGCGGGACACGCAAAUCCCAAUCGUCGCUGGUCCUCCUCCCCGUGGUUUUUUUUUUUUUUUGCAAAUGGCGAUUUCAGUAAUGCACGCGCAAUCGCUCGAGAAAUCGCACGAGCGAGAGCGGCAGAGAUGAACUUUCCACUUAAUUUGAAUAGCGGCCGGAUACGUAUCCGCGGCAAAAGGGUCUACGAAUAGAGGGCAGAGGGCAGUCAGUCGCAGUGAACCCCGGCCGGGAGAAGUGAAGUUAGUCGAUAAUUUCCACGGAUGUUCAAAAUUAAAAAAGUUUUCUUCGGCGAGAGUGAGUAAAUGAGUGAGAGAGAGAGAGAGAGAGAGAGAGAGAGAGAGAGAGAGAGAGAGAGAGAGAGAGAGAAGGGAGGGGGGAUAGAGGAUCUCGAUUGCUUCUUGCAGUCGGCGUUAAUUGCGUCGGCACAAGAGUGCGAUUGGUCCUUUAUCUCCCGUCCUCCUUCCGUCAAUUUUAUCUCUUCCUCCUCUUUCUCUUUCUGGUAUAUCCAUCGAUGAAAAGCCGCAAAAGAAGGCCAACGGCGCGCGAGGGGUGAUCGCAAAGUCCGGCGUAAUAUCGCAUCAUUAUCCGGCUAGACAAGACGCGAUCGAGAUUUAAAUUUGAAUCACUCAUUAGCGGUUCUUCGCGGCCUUGCAGAAUUAUUCCAAUUAACGGGAUUCAAUGACGAUCGGAAUUAUCUUGCUAAGAUUACGCUGUCGUGACUUAAAAAAAAAAAAACGCACGCAGAAUCGUAUUUCUCGAGUCAUCUACGCUGAGUCUUCCGUAGAGAAUUUUUAAUCCAGGUCUCGUUAAUAGCCGGGUUGCUUAAAGUCUGAAAAUUACAGACCUCGCGCACGAAACGAGCGUGGGGCUUUGAAAGCGUUGAUGCAUAAAGGAGCAUUAUACCUCGACAUAGCGCAUUAAAUUUUUCUUUAGAAAAUAUCUCGCUCGCAGUUUAACGAUCCAGCUACUUCACGUCGAACGUGUAAAGGGAUUAUCGCAAAUGUAUAGAGCGCCGCGCGCAGACUAUCCACCCAUAACUACUAAACGCUAAUGCCCUCUCAUUAAAUCUCCGAUGACAAGAUAAACAUUAAUCUCUAAACUAGGUAGAUUAGAUGCGGAGCUUCAUCGCCAUGUCACGGCACUCUACGACGCGCGACGCACGGCGGGGUCGGCGUGGCGUUUCAUCUCGUACUAUUAAUUCAGCGCGAUCAAGCCGGGCGUACCGGAUCGUCGACACCGCCACGGUUCGUUCGUUAAAAUUAUCGAAUCACCCGUAUAUCGUAUCUCAUCGUGUCGAUGAAACGACGAGAUGUCUUUCGCACGAUGUCACAAUUGCGAUUAAUCCGGCGUGGCGCGUGCGCGCGCGUGUGCCGUUCCCAUUCGCUUUUGAUCGAAUUUAACCCAAGUACUGUCCGGCGAUACUGCCAAAUUGAGCCUGAAACGCCAAACGGAAACGUUAGCGCGAUGACGCCGUCAUCGAUCACCUGCUCCACCACGAUUCCGUUAUUAUCUAAUUACGGCACAAUCUGCGGAUACGUAAAUACAAUUUAAAUUACAAUUCCAUCGCGUAGUAUUGAGCGUUCAACUGCUUUGUUCGUACAAGCGUGCAACAUUCAACAUUUUCUACGAUUCCCUAUGUGGCCGCGUUAUUGCUGUGAGGAAAAUAUAUCAAUGUCGUGGAGAACACGUAUCGUGCUCUAAAUAGAAGUAAAAAGAUAAAGAAUAGAGAAAGGAUAGUUUCUCUCAUCUAAAAAGACGAAAUGACAUAUUGCGCGAAUGACAUAUUGCGAACAAGACGAAGAUAUUCCUCUCUUGCUAGUCAAGACCUCCGUUACAAAACGGAGAACGCGCGGCUAGUUGUAAAAUAGGUGACAAAGCGUGAAAAACCGGGUUUUGACCGAUAACAACAAGUGUUACAAGUUAAUUAAGCAGCUGGCAAAGGAACGGCUCGGUUAAUUCUGCAGGCUGAAGAGGAAAAACACGACAAAGAACAACGUAGAAAAAGUUCUUUCGACAGGAUAUACGCAAACAUAUUUUUCACUUAUUUUUCUGCUUCUCUUUUAUAAUAUUGUCUUUUAUUUUGUCAUAAAAUUAUGCCGGAAAUAAGUAUCGCCAGCCAAAGUGUGUAAUCAAUUUUCAAUAACUUCCCAAUGACUUUUUGACUUUUUCGUUUUUUUUUUUACUUUUAAAACUCUAAUAUUAGUUUCUUGGUUUUCUUUUUUUCUUUAUUUUAUUUUUGUUUAAAAAAAAUAAAAAGUGCAAUUUAUGUUAUAUUAAAGUAUCUUAUUGCCAAUAACUUUUUGGUUUUUUGGACUUUUUGUAUUUUUAAAAUAAAAUAGAAAAUGCAGUUUAUCUUGAAUUAAAUAAAAUAUCCUAAAUAAAACUUAUGCAACUAAUUAUACUAGUAGACACCUUUUAUUUGAUACUAUUUUUGAAGCAAAAACUCCAAUUAGCUUUUAUAGAAACUCAAAUAGUUAUGUAAAUUACAUUACGCAUAGUGUCCUCUAAAGGCGCCAUUCAAGCGAAAUAUUGCACACAUAAAUUCUACUUGACAAGACCUUUCGAACGAUAUAUAACACAUAUCCAUUUGCGAUUAACACUUUGCGCACUUCCCUUGUUAGACACACACACAAAUAGACACAUUUUUAACAUAACAUUGUACCAUAUACAUAUAAUCUUUUAUCGAGUGCUCAACAUAGGAUGUUGCGGCAUUCUUGCGCAUAGUUCUCGAAACAUCCAGAUCAGUUCAUAAUAAUAAUCAAUGAGUUAUAUUCUUGGAAACUACAACACACACUUCGUGUAUAAAUUCCGUCAUAAAUUGCUUCCUUCAUAAAUUAUAUAAAUUGACUGUUAUCAAAUAAUUUUGCAUCGCGAUAAGUUAAAAUCUCCAUCAUUAUAUUUCAGAAUAAGCAGGACUUAACUGGCUUCGUAUAAAUCGUUGAUUAUCUAUUUCGCCACUAGAGACAAGUCGGAGCAAAUCGCAGUUCGAGAAGCUCGGAAAAAAAAAACAGAAUAAAUUGUGCUUACUUUCUUAACAAAACUUCGUUUUAACUUGGGAUUGCUGUUACGUUCGCUCGGAGACGAUGUCGGUGGACGAUGAAGAAGAAGCUUCUGUCGGGGUUGGAGUAUCGAACGAAACCGCGAUGGAAAGAAAAAAACCAAUGAGAUUAACAACUUUCCAGAGUUUAAGGUAUUCUGCUGUCGACACUUUUCGCUCGUCUCCUCAUCUCGACACCAGACAAGAGGGAGGGAGAGAGAAAGAGAGAGCUUGUUUUUCUUCUACUCUUGAGGGAAAAUGAAAUUGAUCCGCUUCAUAGCAGACUUGAAGAAAAUAGAAAUCCUCGUCCUACGUUUACCCGACAAUUUUCUUUCAUUCUGCUUACUUCCCUGGUUCACUUCCUAUGCUAACGCUUCAAUUUAACUUUUUUUUAUGCUAUUUAAUCGAGAGGUCUCUCUCUCUCUCUCUCUCUCUAUAUAUAUAUAUAUAUAUAUAUAUACAUAUAUAAAUGUCGCGACCAAUAAUUCUAUAACUGGACGUUAUUAAAAAUUCUACACGCGUUUUAGUUUACAUUUUAUUACAAGUUUUAAAUUUAGAUUUCAGGCGAGAGGUAAUACAUAUAUCCAUCACGCGAUUUAUGUAUUGCGUUUAAAAAAAUUCCAUUUUAAUUCUACAUUUAACGUCUCUGACUUAUUAUGACUGAUGUCAAGGCGUUAACGAACAAUAUCGGGGCAGGCACCCGUCUACUCUCGCAACACUCUCAUCGUCAUCGUCGCGUUACCAUUGUUCCGUCAUUUUAAUUAUUUAUCGAUCUCAAUUCUCAAAGCAGCAUUCAUAUUUACGAAAAGCAAGAGUCCAAAAAGGAUGUGCUCCGCCGAUGUCCAAGGUGCGGACUUGCAAAUAUUUGCGCGGGCACGUGCACGCGUUUCCAACCCUUUAUCGACCUGUUGACACGCCGGCAUCCGGCCGUUCUUUUUCUCCACUCUCUUUCCCUCUGUGUCUUCUAUUUUUUUUAUCGGCUAUAUUGUGUCGAUAUCAAAAGAGUCAGCCGCGUUUUUGCAUAAUCGAUCGGGGGGAGCGGCCUCGAAAAGCCUCGACGGACCGCACGAAUUUCGUAAUAACGCAGGACAAAGGCAAGCCUGACUAAUAAAUUCGCAUCGAUUCGCGUCGUCGCGUCAGCAUGAGACAUUUAUUAGUCCCGGGGAUCGCUCUCUGCGAGCUUUCUGGACUAAUAUUCUUCUAAAAAAAAUUUUUGUGCAUCAACGGGGAAAAAAAAAAUAUAUAUAUUCGAAAAAGAUGUAAAAUACCUUUCACUUAUAAAUUAUUAAUCAUUUGUUUCCUGAUCGGUUCUAAUUCGGCAAUAUCAAAGCAUAAAUGUAAUAAAAUAUGUAAAUACAAUAAUUAGAAAAAUAGAUCCACACGCUUAUUAUUGCGCGACGCGAUUACUUAGUGAGACAUUCAAUCGCACGUCUUCUGAGGACGUUCCUCCCGAUAAUCCGUCGUAAAAAGGAGCGAUCGGUCGCCGGAAGGAACGAGUACCUUCGCUCGAACUCUUAAGUUCCGAGCUUCCGCUGAUCGCUUCCGAUUUCGUCAUUCACGAGACGACCGCGCGGGGAUCAGACUCGCUUUAAAGCGUUCUUUGACCGAGCCACGGCGCGGCGUCAGAGACACGUUGCCCCCCGUCGCUCCUUUUUUUUUUUCUUUUUUCCCACCAUCCCGCGCGCCCUUUCCUUUCAUUUCGGUCACGUUCGACGUUUCUCGCGCGACGACGUCCUGCAUUAUUCAAGAGGCGGACCUUCGGGAAGCGCCCGGGCUUACGCGACUCCGUCGGGACGGGCGUUUCGAUUUCGAUCGGAACGAUUUUUUCGGACUCUCGCUCAUAAAACUGGAUGAGUCACGACGGAGAUCGGACGCUGUCAUUUGUCAUCUCUCACGCGCUCGAGCAUGAAACGAACGCAAAUGCAAAGAAGGACGGCGUCUUCGGCUUUUCCUCGGGGAAUCUAUCCGUUUAACGCUAUCACGAUAAAGUUUAAUUGCAAACGUGAGAAUUUUCGAUCUAUCUAGUACUUAUCACUCGUCUCCCUCCUCGCCUGCGAACCAUCACGGUUACACUGCAAAUUUUAACCCUGGAUUUUCCGAUUCGACAGAUCGUUAGAUUAACAGCAAAUAUUUGACGUCGUUUCGUGGAAAAUAUUCCGUGACGUUGCUACCUUUUGCAUUUCUCUCGCUCGCGCGAUAGAGGCAGUCCGUCGCUUGGCCACAUAACUUCAUCGGGAUGAUAAAUGUCACCGGCUUAAUGUAUACUUUGCAAAGGUGUGCAACGUAGGCGCGUUUGACCGUGUAAUCUAUCAUGCACGCGCGGUUUGUAUAACGCGAUAUAUCUGUAAGGAAAAAUUUUAUGACCACUGCGAUACCAACUAUAUUCAAACAGAAUCGUUUCGCAUGUUUCAUUCACACUUGAUGUUUGAACGCAUAUACAUUUAUGUCGCACCACCACCACCACCGGCGGUGCGGUGUAUUCCAAAUCAACGCCAACUUCCGAAUUGGCUGGGUGUAUUGGUCUGUUUGCGCGAUAAAUGUUACAAAGUUAACGUAUCGGUUUAUCAGCCAUCGCUAGCUAACAAAGUACAAUCAAGUACUCUCAAUUCGCUAAUAAAAUAGUUACAUAUUUCUCCCCGUUGAAUUUAACCGCUCCCAUGUCCGUUACAUUAAUGGCUUUAAUAACAUAAUGGAAAACGUUAUUAAAUACGGUCGGCCGCGAAUGAUGCAAAAUUAAUUAUCCGUUUGAAAAACUGAAUUACAUUCCGAAUUGCCAUUUAACAUCGGAAUUACUCGGUGCUCGCUUCGCGAUGUUAAGGUAUACUAAAGUAAAUGUCCCAGGAAUCGGGCGAUAUGAAACCAAAAAUGUUGAAUUUUUAUAAGAAAUCACGAUAUAAAAUAAUUUAAUUUUAUAAUUAACUUAAAUGUAACAUUUUAUUAUUAACGUAUAAAAAAUAUUAUCUUGGUAAAUAUAUGCUUUUUAAAAAAUGUUAAAAAAAUUAAAAUAUAAACUCUCACCUAGUUGCGCAACAAAUUAAUUCUUCGUGUGUGUAACGUUAAUUUUCUUAAUAUUCGAAAUAAUCUAUUUUAUAAAUGUCUUAAAGAAUUUAAAGGUUACAAUCAAUCUUUAAUAUGAUAAAGUUUAGUAUAAGUGUUUGAACAUGGAGACCGUAUCGAUUACUGAGACAUUUAUCUUACUUUUCGCACUCCCGACAGUAAAACAAAAAACAAAAAUGAGACAAAAUUGGCACCGCCGAGUACUUCCUUUUCCUAGCGGUCAUCAAACACGGUAAUCAAUUAAUUUCAGCAGUAUUACGAUUACUCUGAUUUAUUGUUCAUUCGUGGGGGGAAGGAAAGUUCCGGUUGUCAAGCGAACACCAUGCUGAUGUAACGUAUGUGUUCUUCGUCGCAUACAGUGACUGUGCACGGUAGUGGCACACGCGGACUGCUGUUUAAGGGCCAUUCAACUCGCCACGAUGAUCUUCAGGGCGAACAAUGGCCUCGAUGAUGAGAGGCAAACAAGUAAAAAGUACGAAGAGAAGGGAGUACAGCGAAAGACCCGCUGUGACGCUUUCUCCCUCAUCGCCCUUACAUCCCUUAUUUUUCCCCGUCUCUCUCUCUCUCUCUCUCUCUCUCUCUCUCUCUCUCUCUCUCUCGUUUUCACGCUCUUCGUUUUGCACUACGUUCGUCGUCGUCUCUGCAGAUUGCCGCACGCGAUGGUGGCCACUUUAUUGCCACAGCAAUUACUUUCUUCCGUAGGUUUUAUCGAUAAUUCCCGGGCGAAGUAACGAUUUCGCGGAUGGCGAGACGAUCACGACCGAAUUACUGACACGAGGAAAGAAGAAGGACUUUUUUUUAUCUUUCGCGUUUGCGUGUGGUGCAACGAUAUAGCGUGAGAUUAUACAGUUCCGCUUGAAGUCGUUAUGAUUAUUCUCAAUACAAUCUCCAAAUGUGGAGUAUAAUUCUAACGUUCGUAUAUACGUACGCGUCGGUAUCCACAUUAAUACAUAUAAAGACGCGCAUACGUACACGCAAACAUUGUUAUUUAUAAAAUUGAAUUUUAUAAAUAUCAAAAAACUGAUGCAGACAUAUGGAGCUCGCGAAUUGAACUUGCACAAGUUCUGCGCAAUGCAACAAUACAUUUCAAGCACAUUGUUCGGUUCGUUUUUUGCCGUGGCAAUUUGUCGCGUGCAAUGAAUUUCGCGUGCAAGUUACACAUACAUACGUUAUUGUCGGAUUAAUUAUUUGCUACUGCGAUUCGUUUUCCGAUUGCAAUUUUGCUUUCUAUAAAUGUGCAUUAAAGUUUUCAUCGUCGCUCAAUCACAACAAGAUCUUUUCGUGCAUUUUCAAUAAUUGAUGCCGCUACAACGUACCUAUACGCUCAUCGAAACGUACGUGUCGCGCGAGUCGUUUCCAUCGCUACCAUUUCGACAAAGUACAAUUUUAAUUACAACGUUGUAUCUCCGUGACCGUGAAAUUUCAAUUAGCGCAGUUUGUAAUUUGACUUUCAGAAAAAAAAAAAA